ensembl:lncRNA
CUUUGGGCAUUUAUUUUAUUGGGGUAUAAAUAUUUUUGAACAAUAUGCUUACAUAAAAUGAAAUGCUUUAUAUACACACAUAGAGAAAUUAAGCACAAUACUUGAACACCAUUAAUAUUUAAAACUCCUAGUAUACAAUCUAAAACUCUAACUUGAAUCUGUGCCUUAACACUAUUGGUAUUUCACAGGUCACAUUACUGCUAAAGUAUGUUUUACACCAUGAAUAUUUUUUCCAUUCCUGCAUUUACCAUUGCAAUUGGUGCAAAAACACUUGCUGGCUGACAAAAACUGAGAUAAGCAAUGCAGGAGUUGAGGAGAAUAUGGCUAUUCCCUAAUGACAGGCUUUCUAAUUCACACAAAUUUCCAAUGUGGGACAUUCUCCAUAUAGACAAUUCAUACCUGGUUUGUUUUUGUUUGAAGCAUAAAAUGACCAAGAAGAAUCAAACUAAGAAACUUAAUUUCCCGAUGUCAAAAUAUUAAAUCUGGUAUUUGAUACUUAAGGUGCAUAACUGUUAAUUAAAUUCUUGUUUUAUUAGAGUGUUAAUGACAAAUAACUUUGUCAUUUUCCUAUAUUUGCCUCUUUCCUUUAACUUAACCUUCAAUAAAUAUUGCAUCCUGAACAUUAGCAUGUAUGUAUUACUAUAAUCUUAUGAAUCAUGCAAAGGAUAUGAGCAUUUUUGGCUCUUGAAGGAUUUUCUAUAAGGGCCACCUUCAUUGUUGAUUACAACUUCUCAAUCACUUUCACAGUGAUGAAAGGCUCCUGUAGUGGGGAACAUGUCUCAGGGCACCCACGUACUAAGAAAAAAGCAAACCCAGCAUCUCUUGCAAUUCAGCAGAUGGAGGGGACAAAGGAAGGGAAAAACUUGAAUCACACAUCCUUCAGAAGUGUUCAAAUUAACCUUGCCUUUUUAGUGCACACUUAGAAUUUGUACAGUGUGCUAGAAGAGCAACUAACUGGAAAUGGAAAGUCAAAAGUGUUCAACAACUGAUGAAAAGCCUUCUAAAGCUUUUUUUCAGAGUUGCACAGCAUAUUGAUAUUUUUUUUCAAAUUUGGAAAACAAGUAAUCUCAAGCACUUCUUGCUUUCUAGUCACUGAAAACUAGAAUGAUGGAUUCCUAUUAUUUUCUUUGCUCAUUAUAUCAACACUUUCCAAGCACUUAUCCAAUUUUCUCAAUUUUCUCAUAUUCUUAUGCAGGUUGUUUGUUUUUGGUUUUUUUUUUUUCUGGGCAGAUAUACAAUAUCCUAUUCCUACCCUUAGGUCAACUCACUGCUUGCUAGAGAACAGCAGCAUUUAUUACAUUCAUGCUUUUUGCUAAGUGGAUGGUGCCAGUUAGAAAGAAAUUAAUGUUGCAACCACUUCUGCCAGUAGGAUGCUAAUCUGGAACUCUUUCCUGUGCCUGCUGUCUGAAACAAACACAUUAGGUCAGGCAUGGUUGCACAAAAGCUUUUUCAUGAACCUAUACAACUUCAGAUAAAUACAAACCUUGGAAACCUUGCAGAUGACUUCCUCAUCAUCUGACUAAUAAACUAACACAACCCGUCAGGAUUCAGGUUCCUUCCGAGGGAGGACACGAAGCUGUGCCAGGGGAGGUUUAGGUUGGGCAUUAGGAAAUGGCUCUUCUCCCAGAGGCUGGUUGGGCACUGGAACAGGCUCCCCAGGGAAGUGUUCAUAACCCACAGCCUGCUGGAGUUGAAGAAGUGUUUGGACAAUGUUCUCAGGCACAUGUGAAGUUCUUGGGGUGGUCCUGUGCAGGAUCAUAGGAUGAUCUUUGCAACGUACUUCCAACUCAGGAUAUUCUAUGAUUCUACGAACCACAUUUCUCUUGAACUUACCUUCCUUUUAAUACUUACCAAAGGUUCGGAGUUUAAUUCCUGAAGCUGUACAUCUGUAUUUCAAGUGUGCUAUCGAGUUACCAUUUACCAUAAGCAUUUGAGACGCAUUACUCGAAUUCAUCAAUCUGUGCAACUGCUAUGAUUCCUGCUCUGACACCCUCUCCUCAACCUUACCUGGACACAAACUUAUACUGCCUGAACAUGAAGAGCAAGAUGGUGGUGAGGCACAUCAUAACCUCCUUAUCAUAAGCUGUUUGCUUAUUUGAUAUUAAUUGAACCAGUCCACAUCAUAAAAUCUUUUGAAGUGUCCCGUGGUAACAGAAGUAAAAAAUAUCCACAAUACAGACAGCGAUGUAACCGAAACCUUUUUAAAGGCACCUUUUUAAAGAAAUCUACGCAUCCCUUUUUCCCUGUGUUUUCCAGAGGUAAGCCAGGCUCCUUCCGACCGGGGGCACGGCUCCUCGGAGGCCCCGGGGCGCCCGGGGAGGGCAGGCAGCAGCACGGGGGCACGCGCCACUUCCCACGCUCCCGCCUCUCGCCCCCGGCCCGGGCCGGAACGGAAUGCAUUUGCUUAGGUUCCUUUUGGUUAUUUUUUUUUUUUUCGGACUUCCACUCCGACCUUCGCGUACCGGCGAGCUGGCAGUAGGGCGAAGGCAGCCGGAAGCACCUAAAAAAACCCCAACCAAACAAAAAGAACCCGAGCGGGCUGCGGCACCACCGGGCAACCCCGGGCGCCGCGGCCCAGCCGUAGGGCGCGGGCCCGGCAGGAACUCUGAAAAUCCUGCGCCGCCCGGCCCCGCCCCAUUGCGACCGGUGCCGGACGCUUCCGGAGACUCCCGAGCUCCCCCCGCUCCCAGCUCCACCGCCCGUGUUCCUCGAGCGAGGACUCGCUUCCUUUCCCGACUCCCCCUUCCCACCCGCCUGCUCCGCCCAGUCAAAAUGGAGGAUUGCGGUUGCUGCGGCCACUGGCGUCGCGGUGGCUAGGGCAGCUGCUGCUCCUCCGGAUCACUCCUCGCUCCUUUGAAAAAAAAAAAAAAAAAAAAAAAAAAAAAAA